rnacentral:lncRNA from 1 species
AGGUCUCGGACUGCAGGCAGUCGCCGGAGGUUCCGGACUGUAGAACGUCGCCGGAGGUUCCGGACUGUAGAACGUCGCCGGAGGUUCCGGACUGUAGAACGUCGCCGGAAGCUCUGGACUGGGAACUGUCGCCGGAAGCUCUGGACUGGGAACUGUCGCCGGAAGCUCUGUACUGGGAACUGUCGCCGGAAGCUCUGGACUGGGAACUGUCGCCGGAAGCUCUGGACUGGGAAUGCGCAAUGGAGGCCUGAUGCGUGGGGGUGGCACAGGUGACGCCAGACUAGUAACACGCACCUCAGGGCGAGUGCGGGGAGCAGGAACAGGGCGUACCAGGCUGGAUAGACUCACUGGAGCCCGGGUACGUGGGGCAGGCACAGGAUAUACUGGACCGAGAAGGCGAACUGGAGACCAGGAGUGCUGAGCUGGCACCACCCUUCCUGGCUGAAUGCUCAACCUAGCACGGCAAAUGCGGGGCGCGGGCACAGAUCGCACCGGGCUGUGAAUGCACACUGGCGACACAGUGCGCAUCAUCGCAUAACAUGGUGCUUCUUCACUCGCUCCCCAUGGUAAGCACGGGGAGUUGGCUCAGGUCUGCACCCUGACUCUGCCACACUCCCCGUGUGCCCCCCCAAAAAAUAUUUUGGAGGGUGCCUCUCGUGCUUCUGUUGUUGCCGUGCUAGUUCCUCGUAACGUUGCCGUUAUGCUCUCGCUGCCUCCACCUGCUUCCCCGGCAGGCUGUUGUAUCUCUCCAAUACCUGCUCCCAAGUCCAGUCUAGCCUUUCCUCCAACUCCUCCAGCGACCAGGAUGCCAUCUCCUCCCGGGCACGCUGCUUAAUCCAGUCCUCCUGACCACGCUGCUUGGUCCUUUGGUGGUGGGUGAUUCUGUCACAGCUGUCAAAAGGAGAGGACCAAGGUGCAGCGUGUGUGUAGUUCCACAUUUUAUUUACUCUGUGAAACUAUGCAAUACAUCAAAUAACUGAAUAGACAAAACAACAAAUCGUGACGCAGAGGAGAAACAAACACUACUCAAAAAUAAUCACCCACAAAACCCAGGAAGAAAAACCCCUACUUAAGUAUGAUCUCCAAUUAGAGACAACGAGGACCAGCUGCCUCUAAUUGGAGAUCAUUCCAAACAAACCAACAUAGAAACACAAAAACUAGAACCUAAGAACAUAGAAAUAGAACACAUAGAAUAAACCCCCCUGUCACGCCCUGACCUACUCUACCAUAGAAAAUAACAGUUUACCAUGGUCAGGACGUGACAGUAGGCCUUGAAAUACAUCCACAGGUACACCUCCAAUUGACUCAAAUAAUGUCAGUUAGCCUAUCAGAAGCUUCUAAAGCCAUGACAUAAUUUUCUGGAAUUUUCCAAGCUGUUUAAAGGCACUGUCAACAUACUGUAUGUCAACUUCUGAAACACUGGAAUUGUGAUACAGUGAAAUAUAAGUGAAAUAAUCUGUCUGUAAACAAUUGUUGGAAAAAUGACUUGUGUCAUGCACAAAGUAGAUGUCCUAACCGACUUGCCAAAACUAUAGUUUGCUAACAUUAAAUUUGUGGAGUGGUUGAAAAACAAGUUUUAAUGACUCUAACCUAACUGUAUGUAAACUUCCGACUUCAACUGUAUAUGAGAUCAAAUUGACAACGGUUAAAAUAUAUUUGGCACUUUGUCGGUAGCAAUUUGUGAAAAUACAUUUUUCUACAACUGCAGUGGAUGUAACAAACGAUGUCAUGACAUCAUAUGAUUGUGGCAAUCAAAACUUAAGUCUGCUCUUGUAUGUGCAGCAUCCCCUGUGUGGUUGCCGAGUAACCACAGGUGAUUGACAGGUCAGGUACAGUCGGAGCCCUUGUCCUAGAGAUGUGAUGGACAGCUGCCGUAGCCGUAGCGCUGACUCCCGG